AUAGGAACUACUAUAAUGUGCAUUUUGAAAAUGUUCUUGAUUAUUCGAUUUGAUGUAUACAUCUUGACUGUUUCCUCCUUUUUUUUCGUUUUUUUAGCUUAGAUUAGUAGAUAUCCUCAACAAACUCUGCUCAUAAGAGCUUAUAAAUCUUUUGCAACAACGUUAUAAAUCAACAUUGUUGCUCACCUCCCGAAACCUAUGUCAAUUUGUCAUGUACUUGCUAUGAUUCUAGGAUUCGUGUUCCAAAAUAAGAUUCUCACUGGUCUCAUACCAACAAAGCAGAGUACUACAUUUCUUUUCGAACAGAUCUUCAUACAUAACCAUCCUUAUAAAAGAGUGGAAACAUUUUUUGCAUGUCAACUCUAUAAGAGGCAUGAACUUCUCCAAACUACCAAUAUUUUCUCGAAGACGGAAGCUCUCAACAAAUCUUUUGGUGAUUAAUACUUCUAUCAGUCUUACAAUAUGUAUGUGAAUGGUAGGUGAUCUCAUCUUGAGUUUAGUUCCUAAGGCGUAAUGAAGACUUCCCCAAAUUAAUAUGCAAAACAAUGUUCUCUGUCUGAAAAUAUGCAAGAUGGCACACUAUGCAACCUCAAAAGUAAAAACAAUCUUGUAUGCUUUAAAUAAUGAAAUGGAAAUGAAAAUCGGUGGAAGUAAUUGCUCCAAAUUCUCCAUCAGUUACAUUUGUAACAGCAGAAUUUAGCACAUGCAGAAUUUACCAUGAUCUUAGCGUGUAUAAUUUCUUUUCUUGAGGAUAGUUUUUGGAGUAACAAAUUUAACAUUCCUUAAAUUCAU
rnacentral:lncRNA from 1 species